rnacentral:rRNA from 1 species
UACAGAGACUGCAAGCGUUAUUCGGAUUCACUGGGCGUAAAGCGCGUGUAGGCGGCCCUGCAAGUCGGGUGUGAAAUCCCACGGCUCAACCGUGGAAGUGCACUCGAAACUGCAGGGCUAGAGUCCUGGAGAGGAAGGUGGAAUGCUUGGUGUAGAGGUGAAAUCGUAGAUAUCAAGCGGAACACCGGUGGCGAACGGCG